CGCCCUUGGGGACCACCUUGUCUUGCCCUUCGGAACCGUCUCUCCCCCGCCCUUGGGGACCACCUUGUCUUGCCCUUCGGAACCGUCUCUCCCCCGCCCUUGGGGACCUCCGACAUUGCUCAGGUGCGACGCUCGGGGAUUCGAACCAGCAACCUCUACCUCCUGAGUGACGUGAAGAAGGUGAGACGUCAGAAAUGGAAAAUCUAAAGGAGGAACCAGGAUUCGUACCUGUGAUCCCCUCAUUCAGAGCCCACGACACUACCUCUGCGCCACCGUGAGGUACAGAGUGUGGGUGAGCAGCAGUGGACUGAGGAUGAGACUUCAGAAAUCGCUCCGGGCUGCUCUGCAGUGGACUGAUGAAGAUGAGACCCCAGGAACACAAGAGAAGUAAAGAGGAAGGGUGGGAUUCGAACCCUUGAUCUCUUGGUCCGGAGGCAGAGAUUAUACCAUUACACCACAGCCACCUUGCCGUUUUGUCCGGGUGAUGCAGCACAUAGAAGAUAAGGAGCCGACUCACUAUUGAAUGAAGAGAAAUAAUGAAACAGCGUGGCUCAAACACUCAACCUUCUGCUCCAGAGACCACGAUUUUACCAGUACGCCAUGACAACUGUUAGCUUUAAUGCUUUCAGAACUGAGCUCAAUGCUUUACAUAUAUACUUUUAUUUUUUUAUUUUUUUAUUAGUUGUUUAUUUUUUUUAAACCUUUUUCAGAUUACACCUAUACGGCAGGAUACAGCCAGAAGCUCUAUAGGUUAUGUACAGAAGCACUAUAGAUUAUUAUCUUGCACAAUUUUUUUCUACCUUGCUGGGAAUUGAACCUGCCACCUUCUGAUUACAAGUCCGGUUACUUAACCAUUAUACUACACACACAGCAGACAAUCUUACCACAGAAACACAAGAUAAGAAUAGCACAUUUUCAUUUAAAUGUUUAAUAAUGUUGUGGGACACUUAAUUAUUUCCUUAAAUGAA